GAUGAACGCUAGCGAUAGGCCUAACACAUGCAAGUCGAGGGGCAUCACAUGAGGUAGCAAUACUGAUGGUGGCGACCGGCGCACGGGUGAGUAACACGUAUGCAACCUACCUUCCACACGGGGAUAACCCGGAGAAAUCCGGACUAAUACCCGAUAAUACAGGGGUCCCGCAUGGGAAUAUUUGUUAAAGAUUUAUUGGUAGAAGAUGGGCAUGCGUUCCAUUAGUUAGUGGUGAGGUAACGGCUCACCAAGGCUCCGAUCUAUAGCUGGUUUGAGAGGACGACCAGCCACACUGGAACUGAGACACGGUCCAGACUCCUACGGGAGGCAGCAGUGAGGAAUAUUGCGCAAUGGGGGAAACCCUGACGCAGCGACGCCGCGUGAGUGAUGAAGGCCUUCGGGUGUAAAGCUCUGUCAGGAGGGAAAGGAAAGGGGAGUGCGGAAUAAUACCCGCAGCCAUGACGGUACCCUCGGAGGAAGCACCGGCUAACUACGUGCCAGAC
rnacentral:rRNA from 1 species